GCACCCGUCGCUUCGGCGACGGGGAGGUUUUCAAAGAACACUUGUGUCGCCCGUGCUCGAACCAAUUUUGAAUUMUUUUUCUUAUCACGCUGUGACUGGAUCCAAGCAAAGUAUUCUCUGCCAAGAGAAUUGUAAUUGAAAGGAAAACAACCCUGAACGGUGGAUCACUCGGCUCGUGGGUCGAUGAAGAACGCAGCAAAUUG
rnacentral:rRNA from 1 species